UACAACCAUAUCACGUUGAAACACCGAUUCCUGUACAAUCAUCGAAGUUAAGCAAAGUUGAGUCUGGUCAGUACUUAGAUGAGUGACCGCUUGCGUAUACCAGGUGCUGUAA